CCUAAGGUAGCGAAAUUCCUUGUCGGGUAAGUUCCGACCCGCACGAAAGGCGUAACGAUUUGGGCACUGUCUCAACAACAGACUCGGUGAAAUUGUAAUUCCGGUGAAGAUGCCGGAUACCUGCGACAGGACGGAAAGACCCCAUGGAGCUUUACUGUAGCUUGACAUUGGGUUUUGGUACUACAUGUACAGGAUAGGUGGGAGGCUUUGAAACCAGGACGCCAGUUUUGGCGGAGCCAUCCUUGGGAUACCACCCUUGUAGUACUGGGACUCUAACCAUAGGCCAUGAAUCUGGUCUUGGGACACUGUCAGGCGGGCAGUUUGACUGGGGCGGUCG
rnacentral:rRNA from 1 species